AAGAUUAAUAAUUUGGGCUUCUAACCUAAUAAUAAUGAACAAUUCAUUUAAUCUUU
rnacentral:tRNA from 1 species